GUGGGGAAUAUUGGACAAUGGGCGCAAGCCUGAUCCAGCCAUGCCGCGUGAGUGAUGAAGGCCCUAGGGUUGUAAAGCUCUUUCAGUGGGGACGAUAAUGACGGUACCCACAGAAGAAGCCCCGGCUAACUUCGUGCCAGCAGCCGCGGUAAUACGAAGGGGGCUAGCGUUGUUCGGAUUUACUGGGCGUAAAGCGCACGUAGGCGGAUCGUUAAGUCGAGGGUGAAAUCCUGGAGCUCAACUCCAGAACUGCCUUCGAUACUGGCGAUCUUGAGUCCGGAAGAGGUGAGUGGAACUCCUAGUGUAGAGGUGGAAUUCGUAGAUAUUAGGAAGAACACCAGUGGCGAAGGCGGCUCACUGGUCCGGUACUGACGCUGAGGUGCGAAAGCGUGGGGAGCAAACAGGAUUAGAUACCCGAGUAGUCC
rnacentral:rRNA from 1 species